rnacentral:lncRNA from 1 species
AACCUCUCUGUGCCUUAUUUCCUAAUCUCUAAAGUGGGGAUAACAGCAGCGUCCUCUUCCUAGAGCUAUUGCGAGGACUGAGAUGGGAAGAUGUUUCAGAGCUCUCAGACUGUCAGUGCUUGCGAGAAGAAGAGAAGAAGGAGAAAUCACCUGGCUUCGGGCUUCACCCAAAGCGACAAGUGAGGUCUGUUUUCUGCACCCAACCCUUGGGGGGAAUAUCUGUCUUUUGGCAACAGGAAGGCUCAGUGGGUUCAGAACGGCAGGUGAGGGGUCAUCACUGAGUAGAGCACACCCAGCAGCGUCCAUUGGGAGAUUUCUGCACAGCCUGUCCUCAGGGAGGGUCCGAACCUUCAGCUCGUGGUGCCCAGGCUCGGGAGAACCACACAUGCUGGUGGAACUGGGAGCGGCUCAGGCCUGCCAGAGAGGACAUCAGCCUUCUUGCCCUGGAAGGUGUGCUCGGAGUGAGGAGGGUUACCUAACGGUUAAGGGUAUGGACUCUGAAGCCAGGUGGCCUGAGUUUGAAUUCCAGCUCUCCCUCCUUAUUGGCUGUGCAACUUGGGACAAACCACGUAACCUCUCUGUGCCUCAGUUUCCCUAUUUGUAAAAUGGGGUUCCUGAUGCUAGUCACCUCAUGGAGCUGCGGAGACUGAAUGAGUUAAUGCAUGGAAAGUCUACAGAUCAGGGCUUGGCAUGCAAUGAGCGUCAGCUAUAAUUUGAAAGCAGGGACUGCGUCUUGUUGACUCCAGACCCCAGUGUGAGAUUCCCAUGGCCCCACUCACGACCUGUUCAGUUGGACUGAAGAUAGGCGCAUGUCCCGUUUCUAGGUAUCCUGCCUUGAUCUUAUUCCCCAUAAAGCUUGUUUGUUAACCCAGCUGUUCUUAACCCUGGUUCUGGAUCAGAAUCACUGGGUGAGCUUUUGAAAAUGCAGAUCACAGGGCCCAACACCCCCAGCGCCCACCCCUAAUCACAGUUCUUAUUCAGCAGGUCUUGGGUGAGACCCGGGCACGUGGGUUUUGGCAACACCUCUGAAGUGACUUUAAUGUUCAACCAGGGCCGAGAAACAUUGCUCUCGAGGCAUAACUUGAUGUGAGCCUGUUGGCUUACUUUUGUAUGUACUUUUCCCAAAGAGAAAAAUUCUUUAUGAGUCUGGGAAUCUAGGCUUUUGAUUCAGAAAAUAAAACUUUGCCAAAUUAUUUU